GACGAACGCUGGCGGCGUGCUUAACACAUGCAAGUCGAACGGAAAGGCCCCCACCUUUUGGUGGGGGUGCUCGAGCGGCGAACGGGUGAGUAACACGUGGGUGAUCUGCCCUGUACUUCGGGAUAAGCUUGGGAAACUGGGUCUAAUACCGGAUAGGACCAUGGUUUAGUGUCUCAUGGUGGAAAAAUAUUGUUUUGGUGCAGGAUGAGCUCGCGGCCUAUCAGCUUGUUGGUGGGGUAAUGGCCUACCAAGGCGUCGACGGGUAGCCGGCCUGAGAGGGUGGACGGCCACAUUGGGACUGAGAUACGGCCCAGACUCCUACGGGAGGCAGCAGUGGGGAAUAUUGCACAAUGGGCGCAAGCCUGAUGCAGCGACGCCGCGUGGGGGAUGACGGCCUUCGGGUUGUAAACUCCUUUCGUUAGGGACGAAGCCGCACCUUUUUUGGGUGUGGUGACGGUACCUUUGUUAAGAAGCACCGGCUAACUACGUGCCAGCAGCCGCGGUAA
rnacentral:rRNA from 1 species